rnacentral:rRNA from 1 species
UGGGGAAUAUUGCACAAUGGGCGAAAGCCUGAUGCAGCAACGCCGCGUGAGUGAUGAAGGCCUUCGGGUUGUAAAGCUCUGUCUUUUGGGACGAUAAUGACGGUACCAAAGGAGGAAGCCACGGCUAACUACGUGCCAGCAGCCGCGGUAAUACGUAGGUGGCAAGCGUUGUCCGGAUUUACUGGGCGUAAAGGAUGCGUAGGCGGAUUUUUAAGUGAGAUGUGAAAACCCUAAGCUUAACUUGGGGACUGCAUUUCAUACUGGAAAUCUAGAGUGCGGGAGAGGAGAAUGGAAUUCCUAGUGUAGCGGUGAAAUGCGUAGAGAUUAGGAAGAACACCAGUGGCGAAGGCGAUUCUCUGGACCGUAACUGACGCUGAGGCAUGAAAGCGUGGGUAGCAAAACAGGGAUUAGAUACCCCUGGUAGUCCACGCCGUAAACGAUGAGUACUAGGUGUAGGAGGUAUCGACCCCCUUCUGUGCCGCAGUUAACACAAUAAGUACUCCCGCCUGGGAAGUACGAUCGCAAGAUUAAAACUCAAAUGAAUUG